rnacentral:misc_RNA from 1 species
CACAUGCAUGGCUUAAUCUUUGAGACAAGCAUAUGACUACUGGCAGGAUCAACCAGGUAGCAUUCUUUCUCGACUUCGGACCCGCAUUGAUGCCACGGGCCUAGACGGCCAGCGGUCAAUGAGGUAGCGAGAGUCAUUCUUAUCGAGGGACUUGAUUGGAGCGACCGGAGGCCAAGACCCCCCACGUCCGCUUAAUUUUCCACAUCCGAGAGCACGAGCAGUUGUCCUGUGGACCGAGACAGCCACGACAAGAGUCAGAGGACACCUCCGGGACACGGGGACUGCUUUCGAGGUCCGCAUUGCAGCCGCAAAGCAACAAGGAGGACAGGUGCGGGGCUGUCCGACGAAUUUUUCCAUACGAUGGGGAAGGCAAC